rnacentral:rRNA from 1 species
AUUGAACGCUGGCGGCAGGCCUAACACAUGCAAGUCGAGCGGAUGAGGGAAGCUUGCUUCCUGAUUUAGCGGCGGACGGGUGAGUAAUGCCUAGGAAUCUGCCUAUUAGUGGGGGAUAACGUUCCGAAAGGAACGCUAAUACCGCAUACGUCCUACGGGAGAAAGUGGGGGAUCUUCGGACCUCACGCUAAUAGAUGAGCCUAGGUCGGAUUAGCUAGUUGGUGAGGUAACGGCUCACCAAGGCGACGAUCCGUAGCUGGUCUGAGAGGAUGAUCAGCCAUACUGGAACUGAGACACGGUCCAGACUCCUACGGGAGGCAGCAGUGGGGAAGAUUGGACAAUGGGCGAAAGCCUGAUCCAGCCAUGCCGCGUGUGUGAAGAAGGUCUUCGGAUUGUAAGGCACUUUAAGUUGGGAGGAAGGGCUGUAAGCUAAUAUCUUGCAGCUUUGACGUUACCAACAGAAUAAGCACCGGCUAACUCUGUGCCAGCCGCCGCCGUAAUAC